UUGAUUGGUUAAGUGAUUUA
rnacentral:snRNA from 1 species